CGCCGCGGUCAGCGGGUGGCCACGCAGCGCCUGCUCGCUGUAACCGAGCAAGCGCUCGGCAGUCGGGUUGACGCUGGUCACCACGCCGUCGCUGCGA
rnacentral:tRNA from 1 species